rnacentral:lncRNA from 10 species
GGGCCCAAGGCAUAGGUGGGAAAUGGAGGCCCUGAGACAUUGCCUGGGGUCAGGUGGCCAGUGGAUAGAAGGGCCAAGGUGAACACUCCCUUCCUGCAUGCCUCCUCGCUCCUUUUACAAGGCUGAAGGCAGGCUGGAAGUGUGGGGCAAGAAGGAAAAAUCAAUGAUCCUGCUUGGGGCCUGGAAGGAGAGAGGGCUGAGAGCGCUUCCCUCCCACGCUAGGAAAGAGCCGUCCUCACUGUCUGUCCUCUGCCCCCAGGUUGGCUGGAGAUGGAGUGGGAGCCGUGAAUAUCUCUGUGAUGAAUUCCACUGGUGGCAGUAGCAGUGGCGGUGGCAUUGGGCUGACCCUCGGGGGAACCAUGGGCAGCAAUGCCCUGAGCUUCUCCAGCAGUGCGGGUCCUGGGCUCCUGAAGGCUUAUUCCAUCCGGACCGCAUCCGCCAGUCGCAGGAGUGCCCGCGACUGAGCCGCCUCCCACCACUCCACUCCUCCAGCCACCACCCACAAUCACAAGAAGAUUCCCACCCCUGCCUCCCAUGCCUGGUCCCAAGACAGUGAGACAGUCUGGAAAGUGAUGUCAGAAUAGCUUCCAAUAAAGCAGCCUCAUUCUGAGGCCUGAGUGAUCCACGUG